UGUGCAUUUGGUUUCAUUAAGGAAUACAAUUAGGGUCUUCUCUGUCGAGCAUAUUAUCAGAAUAGCAUAUGCAUAGAAAAAUAUUUGAGUCAGGGAAGUGGUCUUUAUUUGUCGCUAUCAUAAUGCAGACUCUUAAAUCCAACAUGGGUCCGGACAGCUAGUACACACAUAUGCACUCACACCAGACCUAAGAAACUAAACUCUGGCCCGAAGGACACGCUGUAACUUUGUAGAGGGGUGAGGAUUAAUCAGACCCGACUAGCCGAUACAGGGCCAUUUUCGGCUGCCAUUCAUUUAAUGUCUCCUGCCUGUACGAAUGGCCUUCGCCUCCAGUCGAUGGUGGGUUUAAGGCUUGGGAUGAGAUGUGAUCAAAGUGACAAACGGGGAGUAGAACUUCCAGCCACUGCCUUAAUAUUGACACUCCCGUUUCCAACAGACUCAUUUCAGAGUUAAAGGUCAAGGAGGAGAGAGCGAGAGAGAGCGAGAGAGAGCGAGAGAGAGAGAGAGAGAGAGAGAGCGAGAGAGAGAGAGAGUGUGACAGUGUCAUUAAUCAAUCCUGAUAUAUGAAGUUGUUUGUUCGACCCGCUAAGACAUCUGGGAGCCAGUGGACAUUUUGUGCUGAACAAAAUACUUUACUGGUUUACUUUAAUAGCCCUGAUAUCCAAUCCCACCCGCUCUCCAUCUAGUGGCAUGAAUGAACACGUACACCGUCGUUUCUGAGGAGGAGUAUAGAGUUUAAGGUAAAUUUAUUCAAGCCACUCAUGAGUCAUUGAAGUGAACUGACUUACGUACGGUGAAUAGACCGCAAUCUGCAAUGCAUCUGCUAAAUCUUUGACGCAUUUCCGGCCCACGCUAGCUUGGCUAGCUUGGAUAGUAGGCUAGGUUAGGUAAGGCUAGGCUACGUUGUGUAGCAUUAGUGGUGUCGAGGAGACAGCUCUGUGGCCUGGACUGACGCUGGGCAAGGUCACAUCGCAUCCCCUGCCAUGAAUAAAACAUAUGAGAGAGAGAGAGAGAGAGAGAGAGAGAGAGAGGGAGAGGGAGAGGGAGAGGGAGAGAGAAUGAGACAAUAUUGGAGAGAGAGGGCAGGAACAAGAGAGAGAUACAGUUAGAUGAUGAAGGAGAGAGGGAAGGAGAGAUAAAAGGAGAGUAAUGUUCAGUGAAAAUGCCAGAGAUGGGAAUGAGGGGAAGAGAGGAGAGAGAUACACAGUGGAGAUUCAAGAUGGCAGGAGGGAGAAAGAGUGAGAGAUGCUGAAACUGAAUCCACCCCCUCCCGUAGGCGGUCCACUGGGAGGGCUGGAGUCAGGGGCAGUUAGAGGAAGAGGAAGAUGAGAGGUGGAGUGUGAGGGAGAGGAGGAAGUUGAGAUGUUCACAGCUGAGGCAUGCCAUGAAACACAACUUCCUGUGUAGUCACCAAUAACCCCUAGCAGCUCAUUGGUUGUGGCGGCUGAGGAGGAGGUGCCCUUGGCAGUGCUCAUCAUGUCGAGCCGACAUCCAGGCAGGCACACUAUGGAGUGUAACUACGUAAGCAUGAAAUCCAAACAAAAGUACACAAUUUAGAAUGGAACCUCAAUGGGUGGUUUUAGUUUUCAAACUCACAACCUGUAAUUGCUGAUGGAACGGUUUAAUACGUACACGUUUUAAGUGAUCCAGCUCAGACAAAAUGGAACAGCGGCUGCCAACGGAAAAGGUUGUCUUCGUUGCGUGUUUCUCCACAGUGUGAGGCAGGUUGCUACGUCAUUCCAUGUACCACCUCCAUUGCCUGGCGGCUGGCAGCUUCUGCACAGCCAGCCAACACCCAUCAGUCAUGAGUGCCAGACAGACUUGAAGGGCUUCUUAGGGGGUGUGGAAAUCUAAUCCUAAUCAAGUCAAUAAGUAAGAAAAAAAAAGAUUCCCUGAGAAUGAUGUUCGAAAAACUGCAGUCUGCAAUGUUUCUGCAGGAUGGAAGCAGCAUCACGUCAGCUCAAACAGGCGGUUAAAGAUCUCUCCUGCUGGAAACCGGUUACUGCCGUGUGCAGUGGUGGAGGGAAUACAUAGGGUGAGGGGAAUGGCAGUUAGGGUUAGGGGGAAUGGCAGUUAGGGUUAGGGUUAGUGGUGGAGGGAAUACAUAGGGUGAGGGGAAUGGCAGUUAGGGUUAGGGUUAGUGGUGGAGGGAAUACAUAGGGUGAGGGGAAUGGCAGUUAGGGUUGGAGAGUGUUAGGAAGAACACAAAACUAAUUAUCUGAGAUGUUUCAUUUUAUUGUAAUUGGAUCUGUUAUCCAAUUUUUAAUCCAUACAUGGAGGUUUUAUAACAUUACACCUGCAUUGUAAUGUACAAUCCAGUAGCAUAUACCCUUUAUUUUACUAUAUACUCACAGCUGAGUAUAGUUUAUAAUAUGAUAUGAAGAUAGCUUAUUAAGAAUUUUUGACUUUGAACAUCUCCUACAUUUAAAAACACCUGAUGACGACGGUCUUCCGCUCUAAGCAAAACUGGGCGCGGCUUCAAAACUGCUAAUCCCUGGAACCCUUUAAAACAGAGAAAGAUUCAGCUGAAGUCGUUCGCGAGUUUUCGUUAAGAAAUAUCGUGGGUGUCUUCUCCAUUUCGAUUCGGGUGGGUCGAGAAGGGUGAGGACACUCCUUGUGGAGGUUAUUGAUCGCCCCAUGUGCAGGCGCCGUGGGUGGGGGCGGUUGUUGGUGUGUUUUGUGUGUGCGUGUCUGGGCCAGGGGGGUGGGGUUGCGCGAUGGCAUGUCCUUGGCUCUGAGGCUGUUUGUCCUCUGUCAUGAGAGACAGAUAGCCAGUAUCCAGAAAUAACUCAGCAUUGAUUCUCCACUACCCCUCCUCACUGCCUUGCGUUGGGUCAUCUCCCUCUCUCUGUCUCUGUCUCCCUCUCUCUCUCUCUCUGUGACUUCUCACUUACUCUUAUUCUUUUUCUCCCAGAAUGAAGUCAUUUAACCAUCCUCCCCCACUCAGAUUUCUCUCUCUCUCUCUCUCUCUGUCUCUGUCUCUCUCUCUCUCUCUCUCUCUCUCUCUCUCUCUCUCUCUCUCUCUCUCUCUCUCUCUCUCUCUCUCUCUCUCUCUAUUCCGUCCCUGUCUUGUUUUCCGCAUGUCGGCUCUCCUGUUGUUAAUCACUCUCUUUUCCACCCGCUGCUCGUCCCCCAUCAUUUAUUCUUGGCCAGUUUCAGAGCUCUCUGAUUGGCUGUGAGCCCCGGGCCGAUGCGCUGCCUGUCGUGAUGUAUUAAUGCGCUGCUGUCCAUUGUUAACAAUGUGGAUGAAUGGGGAAAGACUCACUGUCUUCUGCUCACACACAGAGGGGGUUAUUAACACCGCAGUGUCCAAAGCCACGGUCAUCACGACCACAUUUCAAAGUACACCGGGACGUCCAGGUCAGCACAUUUACAAGAGAAAUCUCCGGCCCAUUAUUGAUUCAAACAGCCUGAGCCGUGAGGGUAGGGGCCAGGGGGAAAGGAUAGGAGGGGGAAGAGAGGUGAAGUAUAGGAGGUGAAGGAAAGGUUUGGAAGGAAAGGAGGGGAAGGAGAGAGGUGAAGAUGUAAACUCUCACCUGGACAAACCCAUCCUGGCAUUUCUAAACAAGCUGUUAACAUGCACGACUUAAAGCAUGGACUCAUCGGGUCUCUGAUAUUCA